rnacentral:rRNA from 1 species
AGUGAACGCUGGCGGUAGGCCUAACACAUGCAAGUCGAACGGCAGCACAAGAGAGCUUGCUCUCUGGGUGGCGAGUGGCGGACGGGUGAGGAAUACAUCGGAAUCUACCUUUUCGUGGGGGAUAACGUAGGGAAACUUACGCUAAUACCGCAUACGACCUACGGGUGAAAGUGGGGGACCGCAAGGCCUCACGCGAUUAGAUGAGCCGAUGUCGGAUUAGCUAGUUGGCGGGGUAAUGGCCCACCAAGGCGACGAUCGGUAGCUGGUCUGAGAGGAUGAUCAGCCACACUGGAACUGAGACACGGUCCAGACUCCUACGGGAGGCAGCAGUGGGGAAUAUUGGACAAUGGGCGCAAGCCUGAUCCAGCCAUACCGCGUGGGUGAAGAAGGCCUUCGGGUUGUAAAGCCCUUUUGUUGGGAAAGAAAUCCUGUCGGUUAAUAACCGGUGGGGAUGACGGUGCCCAAAGAAUAAGCCCCGGCUAACUUCGUGCCAGCAGCCGCUGUAAAAC